AAUUUUCUUCACGAAAGGUAUUUUUUGAUUUUUGGCAAAAUCUUUGUUUAUAAAACAUUCUAAGGCUCUUGAAUCUAACAAGGUAAAGAAUUUAUGAUUAUUAGGUCCUAAAUAUACUUCUAUUAUAAAACAAAGUGAGGGAUCUGAGGAGAGGAUAGGACCUUUACUAAGUGUUGCAUAUGAUUCCAGCCGCACAGUCCCUAUUGUAGCUGGAGAAACUAAUUUUUUGACACACUAUCUUCUUUGGUAAUUGUGCUCCUCAUUUU
rnacentral:lncRNA from 1 species